CGAAGGAUGAAAUUUUUUAAAGCAGAAAACGUUCGUUAAUUUUGAGAUUAACAGUAAUUCUAGCAUCUUCAAAGUUUGAUGUUUGCUCAACAAGUUUUUGUUUUUACGGAUAGCGACAGGAGUGUAAUACCUCUGGUUUCGAGAAAACUUAAAUAUGAGAAGUUUAAACAAAAUAAUAAUGCAUUUUCGGUUGGGGUUUCAGCAUGAACUUGCAAAACUG